AGAUAUUAGAUCUAAGCUAGAAGAGAUAUUAGAUCCUCAAAAACCAAGAGAAGGUGAUUAGGUUUCCCACAGCCCAUAAAAAAGCAAGCAGAAGCUCAGAAAUCGAAACUGAUGGACAACAUGACUUCUUCAAGUGAUCUUUAUAAAUUUUGAUUCUCCACUGGCUUCUGUGGUGGGAGGAUGGGUUGGACAUGGUGUUGAAGGAGUCUCACUGCAGAGCUUUGUGGAUAAGCAGUCCCACCUCCCGACCCACCCCUCUCCCGGCUCAGCAGGGACCACUCAGAACCCCAG
rnacentral:lncRNA from 1 species